rnacentral:rRNA from 1 species
CCCUUAGAUGUUCUGGGCGGCCCGCGCACUACAUUGGCACUAGCAAAGAGAUCCUAGAUUGAAUUCUUUGGGGUAUUCUUCUAAAUGGUGUCGUGACUGGGAUAAAUCCUUGUAAUUAUUGGUUUUGAACGAGGAAUUCCUUGUAAUCGCGGUUUAUCAGCUCGCGUUGAAUGCGUCCCUGCCCUUUGUACACACCGCCCGUCGCUCCUACCGAUGGACCGUCCGGUGAAGCUCACGGAGUGACUGUUCACGCAACGGUUUACGAAGUGAAAUGGACCUCACGAUUUAGAGGAAGGAGAAGUCGUAACA